CUGCAUGAAAUAUAGUGAACUAAAGUGGGUUCAGCUUGAAGGCGAUCAACAGAAACUUCUCUUGUUAUUCGACAUAAAACGAAGGCAAGCAUAUUAACGCAUUUAAUGCCACACUCAGAUUGAUGUCAUGUCCAAGUUCUUCAAGCUGAUGAUGGUAGGUGUUCUGCUUCACUUCUUUCUCAUUGUUGAAGUUGUCCCAGGUCCUGCAAUUAAUGAAUGAUUUGAACCAAAGUGUUCGAAAUGUUGUUCUCUUGUAUUGAGGCUUACUGUGUGCUUGAGGUUCUUCGACCUCUCUAUGAAUCCCCUAAGAUACCGGCACAAAAGAUAACUGUUGCGAUAUGUGUCAUUGAUCAAUUUCGUUGUUACUAGGAGUUUAAGGUAAAAGACAUAUGGCAUAUGAUGACUUGUGGACAUGUUAUUAAUGGAAUGUACUGUUAUAUAUAUUGAGUAUCUGUUUGAAU